rnacentral:misc_RNA from 1 species
AAAUAAAUACCUGAAGAGUUGAUCACUGCUAUUCGUUUCAAUCUUCCAGGUCGAACAGUAUUCGUCCCAGGGGAGACUGCAAAGUUGAAACGACAGAGUCCUUGCGGUAUACGUCAGAUGUUAUUAUUACACCUCUGCGUACUUUAACAGACAGUCAGUGCAGAUGUUUGCCGGGCCAGGUCCAGCUGCCCAACCCAAGCAUAUUGUUGCUCUACUUUUGGAAACGACAUAGAGAGUUUGAGGGGAAGAAAUCAUACUUCCUAGUACAUGUACCUACUCAAGAACUGCAGUCAUUCCAUGGACUGAGAUGCGAAUCAGUUGGAGGCUUGUGGGCCUAUACAAAGAGAAUUAUAAGCACGGGAUCCGUAAUGCGUGCAUCAACUUGCAUAGAUCUUAGACCUUUCAAGC